rnacentral:rRNA from 1 species
AAUGAACGCUGGCGGCGUGCUUAACACAUGCAAGUCGAACGAGGCGGAGGGGGCAACUCCUCCAGUCGAGUGGCGGACGGGUGAGUAACACGUGGGUAACCUGCCCGGAAGUGUGGAAUACCUCGGGGAAACUCGAGCUAAUACCGCAUGACAUCUUUGGGACGAAAGUCCUGGUGAUCAAAGCGGGGCCGCAAGGUCUCGCGCUACCGGAUGGGCCCGCGCCCGAUUAGCUAGNGGUGAGGUAACGGCUCACCAAGGCAACGAUCGGUAGCCGGCCUGAGAGGGUGAUCGGCCACACCGGAACUGAGACACGGUCCGGACUCCUACGGGAGGCAGCAGUGGGGAAUCUUGCGCAAUGGGCGAAAGCCUGACGCAGCAACGCCGCGUGAGGAUGAAGGCCCUUGGGUUGUAAACUCCUGUCGGCUGGGAAGAAAUCGUUCGGGG